UUUUCCAUGAGCAUUUAAGAAAAAAUAAAAAAGUAUUUCUUUUAUUAUUUUAAUCAAUUUAAUAUCAGUGAAUGGCAGCUCACUGCCUUGUUUCAAUCUUAUUGCAAUUUUAGUGGGUUUUGGGGGUGAAAUUUAAAAUAUUCACCCAGAUUUUCCUUUAGUACCCCUAACACACAGUCUCAGGAAUGAUUGACCACUGGGACUCAGCUACUUGGCCUUACAGGGAUCAGAACUAAUUGAAGUAACCUGUGACUAAUCCAUAUUAUGGAAGAAGGCAAGCAGGCACCAGAGAAAGUAGGUGGGAAGCUGAUGGGUAGUACCCAAAGGCCUGUUUCGUCUUUUUUGAACUCAGCAAAGAUGAACUGUUUGAUGUUAAUGCAAGAAAGAAAACAGAGUGAUAUGAGAGUAAAUGAAAGCUUUGGGGGAAAAAAAGUUGCAAUAGCAAAAGACCUGAUUUUUCAGCAUGCUUCGGUGCCCAAAGAUGCCAAUAAAGAUCUAGGAAGAUACCCAAAAGCAAGAAUGUUAGUCAAGUACAGUACUUCCACGUCUUUCCUUCAUUCAAGUCAUACAGAAAGAUGGAGGUGUUUCUGAAAUAUCACUUUAGGUAUGUCUGCACCUCAUUAGACAGUUGCUUUUAAAAAUCUGGUAAAAGCUCAAUACAGUGAGCUUCAUGCCUUUCAAAGGUAAGGAAAUAAAGAAUGAAGGGAAUCUUAUGAAACUGGUGGU
rnacentral:lncRNA from 1 species